rnacentral:rRNA from 1 species
AAGCUCGUAGUUGAAUUUCGAGAUCAGUACGCUGGUCGUGCCUUCGGUAUGCACUGGUGUCACUGGUUUCUCCCUUCUGAAGAGCCGUCAUGUCAUUAAGUUGGUGUGGCGGGGAAUCAGGACUGUUACUUUGAAAAAAUUAGAGUGUUUAAAGCAGGCUCGCGCUUGAAUACAUUAGCAUGGAAUAAUGAAAUAGGACGUUUGACCCUAUUUUGUUGGUUUCUAGGAUCGACGUAAUGAUUAAUAGGGAUAGUUGGGGGCAUUAGUAUUCAAUUGUCAGAGGUGAAAUUCUUGGAUUUAUUGAAGACUAACUACUGCGAAAGCAUUUGCCAAGGAUGUUUUCAUUAAUCAAGAACGAAAGUUAGGGGAUCGAAGACGAUCAGAUACCGUCGUAGUCUUAACCAUAAACUAUGCCGACUAGGGAUCGGAUGAUGUUAAUUUUUUAAUGACUCAUUCGGCGCCUUACGGGAAACCAAAGUGUUUGGGUUCCGGGGGGAGUAUGGUCGCAAGGCUGAAACUUAAAGGAAUUGACGGAAGGGCACCACCAGGGGUGGAGCCUGCGGCUUAAUUUGACUCAACACGGGGAAACUUACCAGGUCCAGACAUAGUAAGGAUUGACAGAUUGAGAGCUCUUUCUUGAUUCUAUGGGUG